rnacentral:sRNA from 1 species
GACUUGUAUUGUAUUCAAUAUAAACUAUCACCAUGUUAAGUCAGCUGUGUUUGGUACUGCUCAUUGCUUGUGCAGCUGUGAUGAGCCAAGAACAGACUUCGUCCGAGGAUCCAGAUUUCGCGCAAAACUUGCAGCGGCUGUUAAUGCAAUUAAAGAGGCGGCCAAAGAGAUAACGGCUGAAGAAGGUCCUAAAGAAAGGAGGGAACAGUCCCUGUUCAAUGAAGACGUCUUAAGACAAAGUCGAGGUUUCUGGAAAAGCCUGGCCAAGGCAGCGGGUGUCGCAGCAAUCCUUGGCAGAUAAAAGUUGUACAAACUGAGUUCAAACCCAAUAAUCUUUCAAGAACUAGGACACGACUCUAAUAAUUCAUUAAACUUUUUUAUGAUAA